UGCUGGGAUUACAGGCGUGAGCCACUACACCCGGCCCCUUUACCUUUUUUAGAGUAAUUUAUAUUCAUAUCUACAGUGACAUUAUUGAAUAUAGUUUUCUUUUUUCUCUCAUAUCUUUUAAUUUCCUUUCUAAAUUUAGUUUUCAGUAAUUACAGCUUUACCUAAAGAAUUCCAUUUCUGGCAAAAUUGUAUUAAAUUUGUUUUUGCAUUGUGAGAGGUUCUAAAUAUGUUUUACACAAGUAAAAGUCCUAAAUGAGAGCCAGAUGCAGUGGUGUAUGCCUGUAGUCCCAGCUACUUGGGAGGCUGAGGCAGGAGGAAUACUUGAGCCCGGGAGUUGAGAGCUGUAGUGCCUGUGAAUAGCCACUGCCCUCCAGCCUGGGCAACAUAGCAAGAGCUUGUCUCUUUUACAAAAAAAAGUUCCAAAACAACAUGAGGAGGGUGCAAACAAUCAGCUGUUGCAGGUAGAAUUUUUUUACAUACCAUCUCUGUUUCUCUGCUCUGUAUCGUAUCACAUCACUAUUGAAGCUAGUAGUAAAAUGUAAUAAAUAGACCCAGUGCAGUGUAAUUUUAUAUUAAUCAUUGUCCCGUAUGUAAUCUUCAUCAAUUAGAUUUUAAAGUAUUAUACUACAUUCUCAUGCCAGGCAAACAGAGGCGUAUUAGGCUUUUAACAUCUAUUACAUCUAUGUCUAUCAUCUUCUUGUUUCAGAUGCAAUUUAUUUAUUUUAUUGAGAUGGAGUCUUGCUCUGUCGCUCAGGCUGAAGUACAGUGGCACGAUCUUGGCUCACUGCAACCUCCGCCUCCUGGGUUCAAGCAACUCUCCUGCCUCAGCCUCUCCAGUAGCUGGAAUAACAGACACGCACCACCACACCCGGCUAAUUUUUGUGCUUUUAGUAGAAAUGGGGUUUUGCCAUGUUGGCCAGGCUGGUCUCGAACUCCUAAUCUCAAGUGAUCUGCCCACCUCAGCAUCCCAAAGUGCUAGGAUUACAGGCAUGAACCACCGCACCCGGCCCAGAUGCAAUUUAAAAGCUAUUUCAAAAAAAAACAAAAAAAGCAGUUGUAUUUCUGAUAAUUUUUUUUUCUUUUAGCUAUCAUGGUGAACUUACUUCAGAUUGUGCGGGACCACUGGGUUCAUGUUCUUGUCCCUAUGGGAUUUGUCAUUGGAUGUUAUUUAGACAGAAAGAGUGAUGAACGGCUAACUGCCUUCCGGAACAAGAGUAUGUUAUUUAAAAGGGAAUUGCAACCCAGUGAAGAAGUUACCUGGAAGUAAAGACUGGCUAGAUUAUCGAAUGUUCACAUUUUAAAGUUCUGAGAGAAAUAAAAACAUGAAGAAUCUG
rnacentral:sRNA from 1 species